UACGAAGGGGGCUAGCGUUGUUCGGAAUUACUGGGCGUAAAGCGCGCGCAGGCGGUCUUCCAAGUCAGUGGUGAAAGCCCGGAGCUCAACUCCGGAACUGCCAUUGAAACUGCGAGACUUGAGGAUGAGAGAGGUGAGUGGAAUUCCCAGUGUAGAGGUGAAAUUCGUAGAUAUUGGGAAGAACACCGGUGGCGAAGGCGGCUCACUGGCUCAUAUCUGACGCUCAGGCGCGACAGCGUGGGGAUCAAACAGG
rnacentral:rRNA from 1 species